AUUGAACGCUGGCGGCAUGCUUUACACAUGCAAGUCGAACGGCAGCGCGGGCUUCGGCCUGGCGGCGAGUGGCGAACGGGUGAGUAAUGCAUCGGAACGUGCCCAGUAGUGGGGGAUAGCCCGGCGAAAGCCGGAUUAAUACCGCAUACGACCUGAGGGUGAAAGCGGGGGACCGAAAGGCCUCGCGCUAUUGGAGCGGCCGAUGUCGGAUUAGCUAGUUGGUGGGGUAAAGGCUUACCAAGGCGACGAUCCGUAGCUGGUCUGAGAGGACGACCAGCCACACUGGGACUGAGACACGGCCCAGACUCCUACGGGAGGCAGCAGUGGGGAAUUUUGGACAAUGGGGGCACCCCUGAUCCAGCCAUGCCGCGUGCGGGAAGAAGGCCUUCGGGUUGUAAACCGCUUUUGUUCGGGAAGAAAUCCUCUGGGCUAAUACCCCGGGGGGAUGACGGUACCGGAAGAAUAAGCACCGGCUAACUACGUG
rnacentral:rRNA from 1 species